AACGAACGCUGGCGGCAGGCCUAACACAUGCAAGUCGAACGCAUCGCAAGAUGAGUGGCGCACGGGUGAGUAACACGUGGGAAUGUACCCUUUGGUUCGGAAUAACGUUUGGAAACGAACGCUAAUACCGGAUGAGCCCUACGGGGGAAAGAUUUAUCGCCAAAGGAGCAGCCCGCGUCUGAUUAGCUAGUUGGUGGGGUAAAGGCCUACCAAGGCGACGAUCAGUAGCUGGUCUGAGAGGAUGAUCAGCCACACUGGGACUGAGACACGGCCCAGACUCCUACGGGAGGCAGCAGUGGGGAAUAUUGGACAAUGGGCGAAAGCCUGAUCCAGCCAUGCCGCGUGAGUGAUGAAGGCCUUCGGGUUGUAAAGCUCUUUCGCACACGACGAUGAUGACGGUAGUGUGAGAAGAAGCCCCGGCUAACUUCGUGCCAGCCGCCGCCGUAAGAC
rnacentral:rRNA from 1 species